UACGGAGGAUGCGAGCGUUAUCCGGAUUUAUUGGGUUUAAAGGGUGCGUGGGCGGCCGAGUAAGUCAGCGGUGAAAUUUUGCAGCUUAACUGUAACAGUGCCGUUGAUACUGCAUGGCUAGGAUUUGGUUGCUGUGGGUGGAAUGUGUGGUGUAGCGGUGAAAUGCUUAGAUAUCACACAGAAUAUCAAUUGCGAAGGCAGCUCACAAAGCCAAGAUUGACGCUGAGGCACGAAAGUGUGGGGAUCAAA
rnacentral:rRNA from 1 species